rnacentral:rRNA from 1 species
UGGGGAAUUUUGCGCAAUGGGCGAGAGCCUGACGCAGCAACGCCGCGUGGGUGAUGAAGGUCUUCGGAUCGUAAAACCCUGUCGUCAGGGACGAAGGUCGCGAGUUUAAGAGAUGCGCGACUUGACGGUACCUGGAGAGGAAGCCCCGGCUAACUCUGUGCCAGCAGCCGCGGUAAUACAGAGGGGGCAAGCGUUAUUCGGAAUUAUUGGGCGUAAAGGGCGCGUAGGCGGUGUCUUAAGUGAGAUGUGUAAUCCCCGGGCUUAACUUGGGAACUGCAUCUCAGACUGGGGCGCUAGAGUACUGGAGAGGGUGGUGGAAUUCCACGUGUAGCGGUGAAAUGCGUAGAGAUGUGGAGGAACACCAGUGGCGAAGGCGGCCACCUGGACAGUAACUGACGCUGAGGCGCGAAAGUGUGGGGAGCAAACA